UGGGGAAUAUUGCACAAUGGGCGCAAGCCUGAUGCAGCCAUGCCGCGUGUAUGAAGAAGGCCUUCGGGUUGUAAAGUACUUUCAGUCGGGAGGAAGGUGGUAAGGUUAAUAACCUUGGCAAUUGACGUUACCGACAGAAGAAGCACCGGCUAACUCCGUGCCAGCAGCCGCGGUAAUACGGAGGGUGCAAGCGUUAAUCGGAAUUACUGGGCGUAAAGCGCACGCAGGCGGUUGAUUGAGUCAGAUGUGAAAUCCCCGGGCUUAACCCGGGAAUUGCAUCUGAUACUGGUCAGCUAGAGUCUUGUAGAGGGGGGUAGAAUUCCAUGUGUAGCGGUGAAAUGCGUAGAGAUGUGGAGGAAUACCGGUGGCGAAGGCGGCCCCCUGGACAAAGACUGACGCACAGGUGCGAAAGCGUGGGGAGCAAACAGG
rnacentral:rRNA from 1 species